GCCAGCAGAACAAAACUCAGCUCAUUGUGCUGUCCUGGGUCACCUCGGCAGUCACUUCGCCUCUCAGACCUCAGGUUCCUUGUCUAUAAGCUGAGACAACUUCCCCAGUGUACAUGAUCGUGCUGGGAUGAAGAUCACAGGGAAGUCUCAGAAGUUUCUAAUGGAGCAUCCCCUGACUCCCACCAUACUGCUACCCAUGGAGAGAAUUUACGGUUUGGGAUUGCUGGUGCAACGUACAGCGGCUGCACAACAAGUCUGCUGUACAGCCAAGAAGACCCAAUGAUUCAUGGCUGAUGAAGACCACCAGGGAGAAGGAUUCUCUCCUACUUGGGGAAUUUCUUCUACAGGAGACAAGAGUUUUCAAACUGUACCAGACUCAAACUUUUAACUCUAAUUACACAAAGCUGAAGAGUGGCUAAAGACAAAACAGGGACUAAUUGAAAGUAAAUUCGGGGGCCAGAUGCGGUGGUUCACGCCUGUAAUCCCAGCACUUUGGGAUGCCGAGGCAGGAGGAUCACCUGAGGUCAGGAACUCGAGACCAGCCUGACUGACAUGGUGAAAACCCCUCUCUACUAAAUACAAAGGAUUAGCCAGGCAUGGUGGCGCAUGCCUGUAAUCCCAGCUACUUGGGAGGCUGAGGCAGGAGAAUCACUUGAACCCAGGAGGCGGAGGUUACAGUGAGGUAAGAUUGCGCCACUGCACUCCAGCCUGGGCAACAAGAGCAAAACUCCGUCUAAGAAAAAAAAAAUUCAAUUAGGGGAUCAAGAAUGAAUCAUUAAACAUGGAUUUUAUUUGGACAUCUCUUCUUAAUAUGGCAGAUGCAUUGGGUUUUUAAGGUAAUAAGAAGCCAUUACAUUAAGGUAGUGUGAAAUGAAUACGCAAGGUUGUGUGCACUAGCACCUGUCACUUAAGUGGUAGUCUGUAGGGGUUUGUUGAAUGAAUGUAUGACUGAAUGAAACUCAAAAUACAUUAUUGUUGGAUCACCUAAGGCUUAAAUAAUGUAUCUAUGGUAAACCAUGAUAAAGGAACAAACACAAAUGAUUCUGAUCUCUAGUUUCUUCGUAUGCCAUUAAGAGAGGAUUGUUGCAAAUAUCUUUGAGGGUAACUCUCAGAGAGGUUGGAGGUGGAGGCAGGGAUUCAUUAGAGCCAUCUGAGCAGCUUUUCUAAGCUAAACAUACCCCACUUCCUCCCACUAUAAUGGUGUGCGUGCAUGGCCCACCUCCCCAUUCUUUGGCUCACUUGGAGUUUCUAUACUCUAAGUGGAACUCACUCCUUUGGUGAAAUGUGUUCCACUUACAAUGUGAGACAUGCCCAAAAGAGCCCAUCCUUUGUUUGUAAGUUUCUCCACAGGUCUUCUACCGAGCCAGCACUAGCCAUAAUACCAAGUGCUGCUCCACCCCUCAUCAAUGUCAACCUCCUUUGCUUGUUGAUGACCUCACUGUGAUACUGUAAAGGGCAGAGUAGCUGAUAAUGCACCGAGCCUCUGUGCUCAGGAAGUCUUGGGUGCUCAACAUCUGUUGUAUCUCUGGCUCAAGUGGGUAAUAGUGCUGUAAAUCAACAGGUGUUCAUGAGUUCACUCUGCCUUACGUGCCUGGGGCCCUGGGUGCAUGGAAGGAAGCUUUGGGCACUGGACUGGGUGCUGCAGUCCUGCCCCUCCCAACCUUGCCCUACGUGAACAGGCACUUGGGCAGGGCUCUGUUACACCCUCAGCUGCCCAGCCCAUCUCUUGGCUCUCCUGCUGUUGGAUACACAGUCCCAUGAGCUCACUGAUUUAAUCCAUUUUAUUACUACUAACUAAAUUUAAGACAUUUUCUCCUCUAACACAAUAGAUUUUUCUUCUAAUUAAAUACUCAUCAAAGUGAUUAAUUAAACGAAAGGCUAGUGUAUUUAUGCUCCAUUUUCCAUGUCUGCUUUGCUGGUACCCUUUGCAGUCCGGACUUUCCCAUUUUCUAGCUGUCAAAAUCCCUUCUUCCCUAAUUUGGAAUGUAUUUAGCUAAUUCCCUCUGCAAAAUCCUAUUCACUGAUUUAGGCUGGUUAAGGAAUUCCCCUUCUCAAAGCGUCGCUUUACUGAUCUUAGAGGACACUGAGCUCACUUUAACAUGAAAAUAUAAAAUAGAGAGCCUCUGAGGAUGGGAUUAUAUUUCUAGUUAAUUUGUUCAGAACUUCAUAUAAAAUGACACUUUAAUUUACAUAAAAUCUGUCAACCUCCAGAAAUGGUUUAAAAGGUCUCAAUAGGGCCGCACACAGUGGCUCACACCUGUAAUCCCAGCACUUUGGGCGGCUGAAGCGGGUGGAUCACCUCAGGUCAGGAGUUCAAGAACAGCCUGGCCAAGAUGGUGAAACCCUGUCUCUACAAAAAAUACAAAAAAAGGUGGCAGGUGCCUGUAAUCCCACCUACUCAGGAGGCUGAGGCAGGAGAAUCGUCUGAACCUGGGAGGCAGAGAUCGCGCCAUUGCACUCCAGCCUGGGCAACAAGAGCGAAAUGCCAUCUAAAAAAAAAAAGGUCUAAAUAGGGAAACAGAAUCUACAUCAAACAAUUUCAACAGAGGGAAUUUAUGCUAGGAACCGGGUGCGUGGAUGAUGGGGGUGUUGAGAGGCUGAAUUGGGAGAGUGAGGAAAAGCCACUGCCAGUGGCCCGGGGUCACCCAAAGGAAGCUCAAACCAUGGCAGGGGCCACAGCUGUGCCAGAGACACCAACAUAGGCACAGAGAGGGGACCACCCAGCUAAGCCCCAGAAGCUGAGAAAGGAGGCUCCAGGGCAAUGUGCUCUGGCAACCUGGAGCAGAGCAGGCAGGAGAAGGGCUGAGAAGUGGACCCAAGGCAAAGGCCCAAGCUAGGGUCCCAGCCUUCCUUCUCCAGGCUCCAACACAGUCCACAUGAUGUGGGCAGCUGAGGCUACUCCAUGGCUCCCUGACAGUGAGACGUGUGCCUCUGUCCACUGGGAACCACUGCAUGUCCACAGGAUUGAAGAAAAUAACUGUCUCAACCCCCCUUCCAGCCGCAUACUCAGGCAGAGUCUUAGCCAUAGUGCCUCCCACGUUGCAUCUUUUAACAGCCUGGCUUAUGUUCCCAAAAUGGUGUUGGACAACUAAGGAAAUAAAGAGAGUGACCUUUCCUGCAAACUUACAUUUCUAGGCUGGGAUACGCACCUGCUUCAUGAAACACCCACUCUUCUGACAUUUCUCCUAACUGAGUCACACAGGCUGAAUUUUUCUGAUGCUUAAGUUAUGUCUGUGCGAAGUUAUUCUGAAGGGUAUUUGGUGAUUUAAUGAAGAAAGCAAAUAUUGACCUUGUACAAUGCAGGUGUCCAUCCACAGGUAAAAGAAUAAACAAAAUGUUGUGGUCUAUCCAUAUAAUGGAGUAUUAUUCAUCCUGAAAAAGGAAGGAGAUUCUGCCACAUGCUGCAACAUGGAUGAACCUUGAGGGCUGUAUACUUAAUAAAAUAAGCCAGUCACAGAAGGAUCAAAUUCUGUAUGAUGCCACUUAGAGGGGAUAUCUAGAGUGAUCAAGUUUAUGGGAACAGAAAUUAGAGUGGGGGUCACCAGGUGCUGGGUUUGGGGGGACAGGGAGUGGAGAGCUGUUUAAUGGGGACAGCAUUUUAGCUUUAGUUGGGGCAAGUGAAAAGAGUUCUGGAGAUAGAUGGUGGUGACAGUUGCACAGCAAUUUGAAUAUACUUAAUGUCACUGAACUGUAUAUUUUAAAUGGUUAAAAUGGUCAAUUUUAUGUUUACCACAAUAAUACAUUUUUAAUUUCAAAAAUGUCUAUUUACCUUGUGGUUUUGUCCUGAACUGGUAUCCAGGGAAGACCUGGGCACCUGAGGACCUGACCUCACUCUUCUCCUGUGUUUGGUCUCUGGCUGGUUCUACCCAAUGACUAAACCCAACCAGAAGCCAGACAGCAAAGGAGGCCUUUGAUGCUUGUUCACAUCAACCACCCUGGCACACAGCAAGGGUGUGUGGGGGAGCAGCAGAGUUGCCCAGGGCCCCUUCCACCCCAGCUUUUCCAAUGAUCCGCCACAUGGUGGUUGUAAAUGGCUCUAGAAUUAGAGUCUUGUUGACCAGAUUACAGCCCAUUAUUUACAGUAAUUGACAGGGCACAUCUGGGAGUGGCUUCCUAUAUAAACUCAGGGGCUAGCAAGGCAUUUGGUCCACUCUAUGCUCUCCCUCAGCUCCUAUUUGAGGCUUGGCAUGUCACCGGUUCAUGUUUCGUCCCUCUAAUUGAGGGUGUUGAUCGCUGCUAGAGUACAAAUAAGUUUAGCCAAGGGGUCACCAGCUGUCAUCGAUAAUGUCAGUUGGUGUGGAUGAAGACUCUACGCAUAAAUUUGAGAGAGAAAUUUGAGGGAGACAAAACAAGGGUACACAGUAUCCGGAAUGUGCAGAGUGAUACUGACCUGUUGGUAUACUGUUGUGUUCCAUUUUUUGUGUAUAUUUUUAGCAUGUGACUUGAGACAGAGUGAAGUCCUGAAUUUAGCGGAUGUUUGAAAAGCCCAGCCCAGUCCUCAGCAUACAGUAAGCAUGCUUACUUUCUUGCUGAAGAUAUAAUAGCGUAACAUGAGGUGCUGAUCAUAGUCCUGGAAAGCAUUACAGUCCUGAACGCUGUAAUCCCAGAUGCUGAAAUCCCUAAAGAUCAAAAUUCCUAAAUCCUAGAACCCUAAUGUUUAAAACAAAGUGACACACAGCGCUGUUGCUGUUUGAUCAACAGUGUUGUUUCUGCCAAAUUUGUGGUCUGUAUAGGCGUGCGUGCAGAAUGGAUUUCACUGUACCCAAAGCAACUUAGACGCAUGGCACAGAAGAUGGGAAAAUUUAACAAGGAAUGCUCAUGUCAGUGUACACGGACUCCUAGAAGAAUUUCGAAAAGAACAGCAUCAUAUAGAAAAUGGAGGUGAAUGUAUUCUCUGAGGAGGGCCAUGUCCUAAAAGAAAAUUUGUGAUGUAAGACUUUAAAAUAAAAUUAAUGAUAGUGAAAGUCAGCCAGCUUUUGUGAACUAUCUCUGUGCAAUCGCCCAUAAUCCAUCCCUGUAAUACACUUUUUCACAUGCUGAAUUUUCUUUUUAGUUUAUUUGGG
rnacentral:lncRNA from 10 species